CCCAGAUAUAUUUCUCCCCCAUGCCUUAUCAGCACAUGGUACAGCCUGAUCGGUAAUCUCGACCCUCUGCUUCCUGAUUUGCUCACGAGGAAGGAAACCAUUACCAGUUGAAAAUUAAAGGACGGCAUCAAUCAAAGUCUGGCUCUGCUGAAGUGAAGAGAAAUGAGAGGCGAUGAGUACGAGUGGAAAGGAAGAGCAGCACGGCUCCACCUGUCACAGUGUAGAAACGGCACAGCAUUACCUCCCACCAGGCUCUGGGGAGAAGGACUUACAGCAGAUGGAUGGUCUGAUACAGGAGGGAUCUGGUUCAUCGGAUGGGUUUCUAUAUGCGGGCUGAGAAUAUAGGUCAGUAACACAUUUACACUCUUUUAUAAUGU